CUGCAGCCCGAGUGGUGAUCGAUUUUAUUGAGCCUAAAGCGUCCGUAGUCGGACUAGUAAACCCUUGGGUAAAUUGGGCAGCUUAACUGUCCAAAUUCCGAGGGGACUGCUAGUCUUGGGACCGGGAGAGGUCAGAGGUACUCAAGGGGUAGGGGCUAAAUCCUGUAAUCCUUUGGGGACCACCAGUGGCGAAGGCGUCUGACUAGAACGGAUCCGACGGUAAGGGACGAAACCCUGGGGCGCGAUCCGGAUUAGAUACCCGAGUAGUCC
rnacentral:rRNA from 1 species